rfam:Dipodomys ordii contig_91828, whole genome shotgun sequence.
GGUGGCUCAGUAGUAGAGUGCUUGCCUUGCAUGCAUGAGGCCUUGGGUUUGAUUCCUCAGCACCA